UACGAAGGGGGCUAGCGUUGCUCGGAAUCACUGGGCGUAAAGGGUGCGUAGGCGGGUCUUUUAAGUCAGGGGUGAAAUCCUGGAGCUCAACUCCAGAACUGCCUUUGAUACUGAAGAUCUUGAGUUCGGGAGAGGUGAGUGGAACUGCGAGUGUAGAGGUGAAAUUCGUAGAUAUUCGCAAGAACACCGGUGGCGAAGGCGGCUCUCUGGACCGAUACUGACGCUGAGGCGCGAAAGCGUGGGGAGCAAACAGGG
rnacentral:rRNA from 1 species